UUCUUUCUUUUAAUUCUCUCAUGAAGUAUAGAGACAAUGUUGUCAAAAAAAAUCAAACACUUGUGGUGAAUUAUCUCUCGAAAAAAGAAUAUACAUCCUUGCUUCUUGACUUCUCUUUGGAGAGAACUUGGAUAAUGUUGAAUGAAGAGU
rnacentral:ribozyme from 1 species